rnacentral:rRNA from 1 species
UACAGAGGUGGCAAGCGUUGUUCGGAUUUACUGGGCGUAAAGCGCACGUAGGCGGAUCUUUAGGUCAGAGGUGAAAUCCCAAGGCUCAACCUUGGAACUGCCUUUGAUACUGGAGAUCUUGAGUCCGGGAGAGGUGAGUGGAACUGCGAGUGUAGAGGUGAAAUUCGUAGAUAUUCGCAAGAACACCAGUGGCGAAGGCGGCUCACUGGCCCGGUACUGACGCUGAGGUGCGAAAGCGUGGGGAGCAAACAGGG